rnacentral:rRNA from 1 species
AUUGAACGCUGGCGGCAGGCCUAACACAUGCAAGUCGAACGAGCGGCGGACGGGUGAGUAAUGUCUGGGGAUCUGCCUGAUCGAGGGGGAUAACUACUGGAAACGGUAGCUAAUACCGCAUCCCAUCAGAUGCUCCUAUAUGGGAUUAGCUAGUUGGUGGGGUAACGGCUCACCUAGGCGACGAUCCCUAGCUGGUCUGAGAGGAUGAACAGCCAGACUGGAACGGAGACACGGUCCAGACUCCUACGGGAGGCAGCAGUGGGGAAUAUUGCACAAUGGGCGCAAGCCUGAUGCAGCCAUGCCGCGUGUAUGAAGAAGGCCUUAGGGUUGUAAAGUACUUUCAGCGGGGAGGCGUUACCCGCAGAAGAAGCACCGGCUAAAUCCGUGCCAGCAGCCGCGGUAAUAC